rnacentral:rRNA from 1 species
AUUGAACGCUGGCGGCAUGCCUUACACAUGCAAGUCGAACGGCAGCACGGACUUCGGUCUGGUGGCGAGUGGCGAACGGGUGAGUAAUGUAUCGGAACGUACCUUUCAGUGGGGGGAUAACGUAGCGAAAGUUACGCUAAUACCGCAUAUUCUGUGAGCAGGAAAGCAGGGGAUCGCAAGACCUUGCGCUGAUUGAGCGGCCGAUAUCAGAUUAGCUAGUUGGUGGGGUAAAGGCCUACCAAGGCGACGAUCUGUAGCGGGUCUGAGAGGAUGAUCCGCCACACUGGAACUGAGACACGGUCCAGACUCCUACGGGAGGCAGCAGUGGGGAAUUUUGGACAAUGGGGGCAACCCUGAUCCAGCCAUGCCGCGUGAGUGAAGAAGG